UGGUUCGAGCCCACCCAGGGACG
rnacentral:piRNA from 2 species